GGCCAGUAUGGUGUAGUGGUGUGAGUGUUGGAUUAUGACUCUGGAGAUCAGGGUUUGAAUCCCUGCUUGGUCA